CACAGAAUAGAAUUUGUAUUCAUAUUGUUCAUUAAGAAUGAGUUCGUCAACUGAUCGCUAUGCCACCAGAGAGCAUGAAAGCUCAGGCCAACAUUUGACUACGGGAAAGUCUUCAACAAAAAAGUUCUAACAAAGACACAGAGAAAUCAAAGGAAUCCAUGGCAUCUUAUGUGGGCGGAAAGACAAGUUCUGAUGGAAAAAAGGGUUCAAGAAGCAAACGUUGAAAGUAAACAAUACCAAAUCACAAACAGGAUUACUGGCAAAGGAAAAUAUGCA
rnacentral:sRNA from 1 species